AACCUGCCCACGGCUAAGCAUCUCUGAUUUCUUCAGCUUCUUCAUGGCAAAAAUUUCCCCAGUUCCUUUUGCACGACACAAUCUAACCUCGCCGAAUGCACCUUUACCAAUAACUGUUAAUUGCUCAAAGUCAUCGAUUCCAACUUUACGUCUUUGCAGUCUCAUAAAUUCUGUUUCUCUGCGUUCCAAGUUCCUCAGCAUCUCUUCUUGUUCUUCAGCCGACAUCUGAGCUUCUUGCGCUCUUCGUUGAAGAGUUCUUCGUCUGUCUUUGCGAUCCUGAAGACCUUGGAGAUAGUUCUUGUAAUGAUUCUCUAUGAACUGUUUAGCAGCAGCGGCUUUCUGCCUUGUGACCGGAGACGAAACAGACACAUCGGGGCCUAAAUCAAAGGCGCUCCGAUCCGGCUUCAAGUUCACUGCCCCAAGCCUCACAGUCCCAUCAGCACCGUCCAUUUUGCUCCGCUUUGAACAAAAUAAAGUUUCAAUUCAAUCGGUAAGCUCCCAUUCGCCCAAAAUUGAGGAAUCUAUACAAG
rnacentral:misc_RNA from 1 species